rnacentral:rRNA from 1 species
GACGAACGCUGGCGGCGUGCUUAACACAUGCAAGUCGAACGGAAAGGCCCUGCUUUUGUGGGGUGCUCGAGUGGCGAACGGGUGAGUAACACGUGAGUAACCUGCCCUUGACUUUGGGAUAACUUCAGGAAACUGGGGCUAAUACCGGAUAGGAGCUCCUGCUGCAUGGUGGGGGUUGGAAAGUUUCGGCGGUUGGGGAUGGACUCGCGGCUUAUCAGCUUGUUGGUGGGGUAGUGGCUUACCAAGGCUUUGACGGGUAGCCGGCCUGAGAGGGUGAACGGCCACAUGGGGACUGAGAUACGGACCAGACUCCUACGGGAGGCAGCAGGGGGGAAUAUUGCACAAUGGGCGGAAGCCUGAUGCAGCAACGCCGCGUGCGGGAUGACGGCCUUCGGGUUGUAAACCGCUUUCGCCUGUGACGAAGCGUGAGUGACGGUAAUGGGUAAAGAAGCACCGGCUAACUACGUG